rnacentral:lncRNA from 1 species
GUGAUGGGGAAGAAAUGGUGAUCAACAGUGUUGUUGUCACAGAAGAAGUUGACCGAGUUUUGAAAUCAGUGAAAUAUCUGGUAGAAGCAGAGUAUGAUAAGGAGAUUGCAAAGGCAUUGGGAGUCGAAAAGAUAACACUGAAGGCUAUUGUAUAAAACAGCUGUCUCCGGAUUACACCUUCAAAAAGAUCUGAUGAUUUUUAGGGCAUUGCACAUGGUCAGUGUGAACCAGAGUGACUUGACACAAUGGGACAUGCAAGCUGCGCAAACAAAACAACACAGGACUUCUUAUUUAAUGAAAGGAGUUGCAGUCGUCCGUGAAGCUUUCAUCCAUGUAUACAGUAUGAAGUGCAGAGCUGCGUUUGGAGAGAGCCAUAGGACGCGCUACCAACAUCAGGCUAAUGGAACGUGAAGUAUGGACUUUUUGACCGAAAAUACAUCUGUUGUGGACCUGGGAUGCUUUCUGAUGAAGACAACUAAAGAGGUACGUGUAGUCGGGCUGUCUUCCAUCAGGUAUCUGUGGAGAAAAUUGCUGCCCCACAUCUCAAGCACUAAGCCCAGGCCUGAAGAUGGUUGCUGACUGCAAGACCACCUGUCAAGACCUGCAGUUGUCUCUGGGGGCCACUACUGAACCAGCAAGCAAACACAUCCGGAUGCAUUACAGCUUUGAUUU